rnacentral:sRNA from 2 species
GCCCACGGUUGAACAUAAUUCAGGCACCGUUGCCCCCGAUUUUAGCCAGAGAAUAUUUUUUUCGGCCUCCCCCACGUAGCUCGCUUCCAGUUGAAUGGUUCCAAAAGCCUGGACGGAAAUUCCUUCGGCGUGGGGUUUAAAAUACCAUUACAUAUCUCGCUUCUCUUCAUACUUCUCACGACCCAACCCUUGAGCCAACCCUAAUCGUAACCCUAAUUUGACAACACCCCCUAAUCUGGCGUUGGCAGUUGGAGAUUUCGUUGCAUUAACACGUGGUUGUACCUACACGCCGGGUCGCCUUUUUGAUAUAACGGUGCUUAACCGUUUAACCCCAUGUUCUGGGCGAUGUGGAGUAAAAAGAGUGCUGCUUCAAACGUUGGUUUGCAAAAGAGUUUGGGAGAUCGUGGGGUGCUAGUUCAACCGAAUGCCACCCCAAGGUGCGAAAGCAAUAGCUUUCCCUUCUUCCGAGAUCUCUUCACCAAAAUUCCCUGUUCACUACACCCCCUAUUCACUCUAUAUAAACAUGGAAUCCAUUCCCCAUCAUAGUUUGACUCCAGAUUAGUCAAGCUCUCGCUAGUGUUGCUGAGGAACGAAAAGAAAAAGGAAUACUUUCAAUCUUAUAUCUCGAUUAUGAAGCUUCUGUGCCCCACUAUUUCUCUUGGGUUGUUUGGGAUUGCGGUACAAUGCGCUGCAGUAACAAACACAAAGAGCCAGGAGGGUACAUUAGACAUCAUUCGUGGACUAAAGCAGGAUCCUGAGGGAUUCACCGAUAUCGGCGCAGACGGAAUCGCACGAUCCCUCGAUGGACAAGGGAACGUUAUUGAUUUCAGAAGACUGACCAACGCUCAGUUGCUCAAACUUGCACAAACGACGUCUGUGGAUGCUGAAGAACUCGAGCACAACAUCGCAGCUUGGCAGGAUGCCGAUGGUUGGAAAGUGCCCCUCACCCAGGCUUUGAAUCCCCCUAAUAAAGCGGAGGACAUAAACAAUCAUGGGAGCAUGGCAAAGAGUAUUGAUACGCGACCGGCUGCCAUGGCAGCCAUGCAAUUGAGGGCCGAUAUUUGGUGCUACGCAAUAACCUGCACGACGAAUAUAGAGUGCAGAAGAAUUCACUGUACUGGUUGUUCUACACGGCCUUACCAACGCAGGUACUGCUACCCGUGAGUGCCUAGUGAAGCAAGAGAGCCGUUGCUGGAAGGGCCGUCUUGCUGCAAUUGGCUGUCCGGUGGAGUGGAUAUACAGUAAAUCAGGCGAAGCAGGGACAAAAAUGAGGAGCACUCCUUUUCAGUCUAGGUUUUCUCGGGUUCUCUCCGCAUCUAGGAAGAAAGUUAAAGAAUAUUGGUACUUCUUUGUAUUUACUUUAGCAAUGUUCUUAUAUUAGUAUAUAUAUCAGAUCUCUCAGAUGUCAAAAAAUAACAGUUAUUAUUUUAUAAAGUUUGAAAUACAUAAAAUAAAAGUUUCUUCCUCUAUAUAAUAACAAAUUUUUGUUCUGUAGGGCUGUCCGGAUUACCCCGAGCAAAUUAACCAAACGAUAGAGCAACAUAUAAAAUCUAGUUACCCUUGCCAGGACGAAACGGGGAUAGAAGUUAAGUACUAUUACUGCUUUCAAUGUAGAAUACAAGGAUUCAGUCAGGAGAGGAAAGACUAAGCGAUUCCCUUCAGCCAGUUUUUACAAAUUAAAGAAUAUAGGCAGGCAGGCAGGCAGGUAGGCAGGCAGGCAGGCAGGUAAGUACUAGUGCUAGUACUAGUGUCUAUGAAGGAUGACGGGACGAAUCAGUUAAACUUUAUAGAAUUAACCUUAACUGGGUGUCAUCACCCUCCCCCGUUCCUAUUAAAACAUAUCUGUUUGUGUUUAAGCGGAAAGGCCUCUUUUCUCGCUUUCUGAGAAGAAUAUAAUCAUGCGCCAGAGUUUCUUGACCAGGAUUUCCGCUUCCUCGUCCAGAGCCUGGGUUGUGAGAAAGUAUAUCAUUAGCAUUGCAAGAAUUUUGUCACAAGAGAAUAAUGAAACUUUGGCACUAAGGGAGUAGAAAAGAAAAGGAGGGGAGAGGGGAUUCUUACCUCUUCCAACAGUUCGACUAGCUCCUGAGGAUGCCCUCGUUUCCGAAUAUGCUCCUCAACCACGUCGACCAGCAUCUGCUCCUGGACACCAAGGUACUCCAUAAUUUUCUUCUCAACAAAUGGCUUAAGUUGCUCUCCCCGAACGGAUUCAUCCACAAACUCCCAAUUAACUUCCCAGUUCCAAAGGCCAUCUUUGUCCGAUGGGAUAUCGGCAGCAAGCUGCCUUGCUGCCUGGGCGCGCUCUUCAUCCGUAAGACCGGCCGACUCAGCCGCUGUAUCAAAUUUAAUAGACGUAAGUGGCCGUCUCGUGGCGGCUCCCGUAUCCUCCUCAUCCUCAAGGAGGCCCUCGACUUCUGCCACAGUUCUCCGCGCCGUAGCUUGGGCCUUCUGUGCUGCCGCACCGAGAGACAGCUUAAAGCGUUGUGGCUCUCUUGGGGCUUGGGUCCGGGAUUCCAACUCUUCGGCCUGCCGGGCAAGGAAGUCAUCCGCCAUGCCACGAGCUUGUUCUUCUUGUUGCUGGGUCCGGGCAUUCUCACGCUCUUCCGCAACACGAUCCGCUUCAUCCAUGCUCACCUCUCUAUUUCUAAAUGCAGCUCUAUUUCGUAUCCAGACGCCACGAUCAGCGUAGUACUCUUCGACUUUUCGGCUAGCUUCGAGGUCAUCAUUCCAUUCUCGCAGGCGUUUAGCCAUAAUUUGCUUUUCCUCCUCUAGGCGGAUAUCUUCUUCCUUGUCACGAUUUUUCUCUCGCUCUACGGCUGCUGUUCUGCUGCGUUCCCGAUUCAGCCACCGCCUUUCUUGAUCUAAAUAUUGCUUUUCCGCUUCAACAGCUUUCUUUUCCUUACGCCUUCGUUCAAGCUCUUCAUCGCUUGCAUCAGUAUCCUCGUCUUCAUUGGCACCAUUUAUUCCACUCCCGUUCACAAAUGAUACUCCCUUCUGGUAGUCCCUUGGAAUUUGAUGACCAAAUCCUUUCGGAGCCGAAGGCGCCUUUGGAACACCCUUGUCCCUGGGUCCUAGAGGGAUGCCAUUCGCACCUCCUGCAGGGCCACUUGGUGCAGUUGGGGGAGGCGAAGCUAAUCUGUUUGGCCUGGGAGCACUCGCCCUAGCCCUUUCUAAAGACUCGAGUUCUUCCUCUCUCUUCAGUCUUUCAAGGUCGCGACGGUUGCUUCUUUCACGGAAGGCUGCGAUUUCUUUUGCAACGGUUUCUCUCAUUUCAGCAGGGAUAUCUGACAACUCAUCCUCAACGUUAAUAGGAAUCGUAACAAUUUCAGCAGGGUUCCCAUCCUUCUGUCCGUCUACAUCUUUCAUUGGCGUAUCGCCCUCGCCGUCAACCGCGUUUGAAGUGUCGUCCGGUUUUGCGGGGGCUGGUGGGUUGGUAAUCUCGGAAAGGACCUUUGCUAGAGCUGUUUUGGCCCCAUCCAACCGUGCUUGCUCGGCUUCGGGGUCUCGCUGGGUAGUGGACUCAAACUGCUCGAGGUAUUUGAGAGAGCUGUCGUCGAAAACCACCUAUUAAACGUUAGUUAUUUCAAUAUAAUAGUAAUAGAAGCAGCUUUAAAACCAUACCAGUAACUUGCUCUUUUCAACCUCUUCCUCAUCCCCUUCGUCCUCUCUCACUGG